rnacentral:rRNA from 1 species
GAUGAACGCUGGCGGCGUGCUUAACACAUGCCAGUCGAACGGAAAGGCCCAAGCUUGCUUGGGUACUCGAGUGGCGAACGGGUGAGUAACACGUGGGUGAUCUGCCCUGCACUUCGGGAUAAGCCUGGGAAACUGGGUCUAAUACCGGAUAGGACCACUUCUUGGAUGUUGUGGUGGAAAGUUUUUUCGGUGUGGGAUGAGCUCGCGGCCUAUCAGCUUGUUGGUGGGGUAAUGGCCUACCAAGGCGUCGACGGGUAGCCGGCCUGAGAGGGUGUACGGCCACAUUGGGACUGAGAUACGGCCCAGACUCCUACGGGAGGCAGCAGUGGGGAAUAUUGCACAAUGGGCGCAAGCCUGAUGCAGCGACGCCGCGGGGGGGAUGACGGCCUUCGGGUUGUAAACUCCUUUCGCUAGGGACGAAGCGUUUUGUGACGGUACCUGGAGAAGAAGCACCGGCUAACUACGUG